UGAACGCUGGCGGUAGGCCUAACACAUGCAAGUCGAACGGCAGCACAGUAAGAGCUUGCUCUUACGGGUGGCGAGUGGCGGACGGGUGAGGAAUACAUCGGAAUCUACUUUUUCGUGGGGGAUAACGUAGGGAAACUUACGCUAAUACCGCAUACGACCUACGGGUGAAAGCAGGGGAUCUUCGGACCUUGCGCGAUUGGAUGAGCCGAUGUCGGAUUAGCUAGUUGGCGGGGUAGAGGCCCACCAAGGCGACGAUCCGUAGCUGGUCUGAGAGGAUGAUCAGCCACACUGGAACUGAGACACGGUCCAGACUCCUACGGGAGGCAGCAGUGGGGAAUAUUGGACAAUGGGCGCAAGCCUGAUCCAGCCAUACCGCGUGGGUGAAGAAGGCCUUCGGGUUGUAAAGCCCUUUUGUUGGGAAAGAAAAGCAGCAGGUUAAUACCCCGCUGUUCUGACGGUACCCAAAGAAUAAGCACCGGCUAACUUCGUG
rnacentral:rRNA from 1 species